GCCUGGCUAGCUCAUUUGGAAGAGCAUGCGACUCUUGAUUUCAGGAUCAUGAGUUUGAGUCUCAUGUUGGGUG
rnacentral:tRNA from 1 species